rnacentral:rRNA from 1 species
AUGUUGAUGAAUCAUAUUAGUAGUACAAAGAUAUUAGAGAUUGAGGGUCAUGCACAAGUUCUACUCGAGUUGGCACGCAGCCGGAACAAGAUCCCUUUGCCCAAGUCUAUAGCUCCACCCGGCUCGAUUCCCUUGCCACCCGAACAGGACACAUUGUUGAGUGAAAACUACCAACUCCUACCUGCAUUGAAGCCGCCAACUCAGACCGAGGAAGCAGAAGAUGACAAUGAGGGAGCCGGCGCAAGCCCUACCAAUCCUAAUCCAAACUAUCCGCAGGAUCAGAGGGGCAGCGAGCAACACCAGCCUCAGAGCCAGAGGGGGGUUUCUUUCCAGCUGAAUGCGGUGGCCGCCGCAGCUGCAAAACGUUCUCUAGUGACAGUUGAUCAGUUGAACAUGGGCUAA